UUUUUCUUUUUUUUUUCUUUUUGUGGCUACACUUGCACAUAUGGAAGUUCCCAGGCUAGGGGUCGAAUCGGAGCUACAGCUGCCUGCCUACACCACAGCCACAGCCAUGCUGGAUCCAAGAGGCAUCUAAGACCUACCCUGCAGCUUGUGGCAACGCUGGUCCCUUAGCUCACUAAGCGAGGCCAGAGUUUGAAACCCACAUCCUCAAGGAAACUGCGUCAGGUUAUUAUCCCAUGAGCCACAAUGGGAACUCCUCAAAUUUUUUAAUUUUUUCAACAUCUCUGUGUUAAAUACAAUUUACUUUGAUAAUUCAGAAAAAAAAUAAUACAUUUUUUAAAACCCCAUGUCUGCCUCACAUGAUAAAUAUUCCUACCAGGGAGACCUAUAGAAUCUCCUAUGUCAUCCUAUAUAAAAGGAAUUGAUUACUUGCUGGCUGUCUAUUAAUUUAAAGGGAAGCAGUCAAGGGGAGUGAGGGGCUGGGAGGCAGCGUGUGUGUCUGAGGAUGCAACUUCCUUUGAUGCACCUCUGCUAAACAACGAAAUUCUAUCUCCUGCAAGAAAUUAUUUCUGCUGGCUGUGCAAAUGUCAGGCUGGAGCCUGCCCUUGGAGAGGCGGCUGCAUCAUUAUAUCCUUGUAAAAUCAGCAGAGCCUAUGCAUGAACCGUCACAGUGGUUGAUUUUUACAAGCUACUCGCUCUGGGCAGCUGCACAUAGAAAACCAUAGCUCAGAGGAGAUGGUGAUUCCUAUUGUUAUUCCUUCUCAUUUUAGGUUUUGCCAUUUUGAAAGAGUGUUGUUUGACCCGGGAGGAAACGCUCUUUGUGUAAAAAUGACUUCCUAGCCGUAGGAAACUACAAUAUAUUAACCUGUACUUGGUACCAUCUAGCCUACCUUUUGUUUGUUGUCUAACCGCUUCUUACCCUUGCAUCAUGCACACUCUGGGGCUGGCAGCUUUGGAAGACCUGCUCCAUGGAUGUUCUGCUGACCCCAAGGCUUCUGGGGUCCUCUCCAGGGAAAAGGACCUACACGGGUCAGAGGCUCUGCUGUCUGCUCAGUGCUCAGCCUCUACUGAAGACUGCCUGUUAGUGACAAAGGCCAAGCCAGGAUUUGGUGGCAUAGAGGCACCUGUCUCCUGCUGGCUCUUGGCACCAAGUCAUUGCAUCCAGUCAGCAGCAGGCAAGAGUUUUUUGUUGUUGUUGUUGUUGUUGUUUUGUCUUUUGUCUUUUUAGGGCCUCAUUGAUUGCAUAUGAGGUUACCAGGCUAGGGGUCUAAUCGGAGCUACAGCUGCUAGCCACAGCCACAGCCAUAGCCAUAGCAAUGUGGGAUCCUACACCACAGCUCAUGGCAACGCCAGAUCCUUAACCCACUGAACAAGGCCAGGGAUCGAACCCACAACCUCAUGGUUCCUAGUCAGAUUCGUUUCCACUGUGCCAGGACAGGAACUCCACAUUUUUCCUAGUUUUAUUGAGAAAUUAUUGACUUGUCUCCCUAUGUAAGUUUAAGGCAUACAGCAAUAUUGUGCAAUGGUUACCACCAGAGGUUCAGCUUCUAUCUCUCUUCUCAUUCAGAUACAAUAAAAAGAAAAUACAGAAGAAAGGAAAACAAUUUCUCCUCAUGAUGAGAAUGCACAGGGUUUACUCUCUUACCAGCUUUCCUAUGUAUCAUACAGCAGUGCUACUUGUGGUCAUCAUGUUGUACACUAUACAUUUUUAAAAAUUACAGUGCAAAAAUCAGAGCCCCCUUGUGGCCUAGUGGUUCAGGAUUCAGCAUUUUCACUGCUAUGGCAAGGGUUCGAUCCCUGGCCAGGGAACUUCUGCAUGCCAUAGCCAGAAAAAAAAAAAAAAAAACAACAAAAAUAAAGCAUUUGAGAGAAGUCAUUAUUAGCCAAUGAGGGUGAGCUGAGCAAAAAAUGUACAAAGAUUUUUAUUUUUGACACAUUACUUGGGUCCCGUCCCCAAAGAAUCUAACCUAAUAGGUCUUAGGUGAAGAUUGCACAUCUGUAUAUUGAAAAUGCUCCACUUAAGAGCCGUUGCGUUAAAAAUUACUGGAAGAUUCCAAGGUAACAGAAAUAAAAGCAAAAACAAACCAAUGGGACCUAAUAAAACUGACAAGAUUUUUUUUUUUGCACAGCAAAGGAAACCAUAAAAAAAGAAAGACAACCUAUGGAAUGGAAAAAAAAUCGUUUCAAAUGCGGCAACUAAUAAACUUAAUCUCUAAAGAUACAAUUUAUACAACUCAAUGGCAAAAAAACCAACAACCUGAUUGAAAAAUGGGCAAAAGAACUGAAUAGACAUUUCUCCAAAGAAGAUAUACAGAUGGCCAACUGGAACGUGAAAAAAUGCUCAAUAUCAUUAAUUAUUAGAGAAAUGCAAUCAAAACUACUAUGAGGUACCAUCUCACACCUGUCAGAAUGGCCAUGAUUAACAAGUCAACAAAUAACAAAUCCUGGAGAGGGUGCGGAGAAAAAGGAACACUCCUACACUCUUGGUGGGAAGGUAAAUUGGCACAACACUAUGGAAAACAGUAUGGAGGUUCCUCAGAAAACUAAAUAUAGAACUAUCAUAUGAUCCAGCAAUCCCACUCUUCUCCAUAUAUCUGGACAAAACUUUCCUUGAAAAAGAUACAUGCACCCUUAUUGCAGCACUAUUCACAAUAGCCAAGAUAUGGAAACAACCUAAAUGUCCAUCAACAGAUGUAUGGAUUAAGAAGAUGUGGUACAUAUACACAUUGGAAUACUACUCAGCCAUAAAAAAGAACAAAAUAAUGCCGUUUGCAGCAACAUGGAUAGAACUAAAGACUCUCAUAAUAAGUCAAGUAAGUUAGAAAGAGAAAGACAAAUACCACACGAUAGCACUUAUAUCUGGAAUCCAAAUAUGGCACAAAUGAAACUUUCCACAGAAAACAAACUCAUGGACAUGGACAACAGACUCAUGGUUGCCAAGGGGGAAGGGAAGGGAGUGGGAUGGACUGAAAGUUUGGGGUUAAUGGAUGCAAACUAUUGCAUUUAGAGUGGAUAAGCAAGAAGAUCCUGCUGUAUAGCACAGGGAACAAUAUCUAGUCACUUGUGAUGAAACAUGAUGGAGGAUAAUGUGAGAAAAAUAAUAUAUAUAUAUGACUGGGUCACUUUGCUGUAUAGUAAAAAUGGACAGAAUGCUGUAAAUGAACUAUAAUGGAAAAAAUAAAAAUCUUUUAAAAAAGUUUUGCCUUCUUGGACUGAUUCUCAACUAAAAAUGAAACUAAAAGUCAGAAAAAAUUACUGGAAGAAAUGAGGCAAUUCUAAUAGCAUUUAUUGUUAGUAGAAUACCUUCUGAGGGGCGGUAUUUUUUUUCUUUUACACUUGGUUGCAUCAAGACCAAAAAAUGUUUACCCACUGCUUAUUUGUGCCCCAGACUUCAGACUUAAGAUUUGAGUGUGAGCCAGGAAGACGGCCACCUCGACACAAAGCUGAGGGAUUAGCCUCCUACAUCAACGAUGUCUUUCAUAACCGAGCAGCUUGCUUUCCCCACAGUUUCCCAAGUUAUGGCUCAAACCUCCCUGAUCUUGAGCCAGAGUGAGAUGGAAUUCAUAUUUCUUAAUGAUCAAUAUGGCAUUACUUCCAGAGAGAAAUUAAGUGUGAGCAUAAACAACUUGGCCAAGUGUACAAAAGACAGAGACAGACAUAUCUGAGGGUGCCUGAAGAUCUACAAUCCACAAUACUGUGGAUACAUUUGACUAAAUAAAACGUAUUUAUUCACAAACAGGAAAAUGGAAUUUUUUAAAAUUAUUAUUAUUUUUUUAUGUUUUGGUCUUUUUAGGGCUGCACUGAUGGCGUAUGGAAGUUCCCAGGUCUGGCCGUAAAAAAAAACAAAAAAAUGGUGGGGGGAUUUAUACUCCCAGAAAAAGAGAUAUUACCAGCCUCAACGAGCCCUUCACGAUUUCACAGGAAGUUUAGGAUUUCUCUCCCCUAUCUUAUUAGGGACAGGUUAGAAAGACAGACUUCCAAACAAUGUCUGGGGUGAAACAAUAGUAAUUGCCGCACAAGAGAGUCCCUGCAAGAUCAGACUAACUGCAAUGAACUCCAGUGAGAAACCCUCUGCGGCCCCAAUUUCGAGGACUUGUCCCCAGGCCUGCCGCUGCUAGCUGGGAGCUGAUAUUUAAAAUGCUGCAACAUCUGCCCUAAGAUCUUUCCAGAGAAAGGAUUGUGAAGCAGGAGCAGAAUGAUCGCAUCAUUCACACUUGAACUCGAUGCGGUGAGCACAUUUGUUUGUCCUCAUUAAGCGCAGCGUUAGCCAUAGCCAGCACUCACUGACAUGCAGAGACAGUGCGCUGGGGCUGGGCCAGCCAGCCAGGGGCUGGUCAGGAGAGCUGGGCCCUGCCCAAGGUCUGCCAAGAUGAGCUUUGCAGCCUGGGGAAAUUAGCAGCUUCCCUGGGAUCUGGGGGAACUUGUCAAGAAGUAGAGGCAUUUAGGAAAAGGUUUUCCAGAAGCCCCUGGGGUCUCAGAACAUGCCCAAGGCCACCCCAGGGGUUGGAGGAAGGCCAGACCAAGGCAAUGCCCACAGGGCCUUUCCCCUGUUUCAAGCAGGGCCUCUUUGGAUCAUUUCUACACACUGAGCUCCAAGUCCGACUGGUUUUAAAGGUGUGAAAACCAUAGGACUAGCUAAGCUUUGCAUUCUUUACCUACAAAAGGACACAGUGAAGAAUCUGAUUGUCACAGACUUGGGCGGGAGCCACCUUGCCUGGCUUCAAUCCUCAUCUCUUCUGUCUGGGUGACCUUGGGUAAGUUUCUUAACUUCCCUGGGCCUCACUUUCCUCAUCUAUAAAGUGUGUAAUGACAGCCCUUGCCUCCCAGGAUUCUUGGGAGGAUCAAAUGACGUCCUCAGAGCAGUACCCAGCACAUAAACAAGCGUUUCUUCUUCUUGGCCCCAGUUAGCAGCCAGCUUCUGGGCCAGCAUCGUUAAUAAAGCCACAAAAGGAAAGGCACAAGAAUUCACUCGUUCCAUGUAAAGGUGCUUGGGCGCAUAAUUGGAUUCGCUGCAAGUGCCUUUUUAAAUGUUACUGUUGGUUUCUGAUUCACAUUUGGGAAGAAAAGCAGAACAGGAGGUGAUAAAUUCCUAUACGGGAGAGCUUGGCAGGAGACACAGAUGUGACUGUACAGUUAAUUGGGGACUGGGAGGUGAAAGUCCUGGGCAGAAGCAGGGUGACACUAGCUGGUUCCUCUCCUGCUGUGGUUUACGGUGAUUAGUUCAUUAGGGAUUCUGCAGGGCCGUUCCUGGGUGGCUGCUGAUCCUGUCUUUGCCCAGACAGGGAUGAUGUCAGCAUAUAGUUUAUGGCAUUCAGCAAUCCUCUGGAGGAUUCCAGGAGCUUAUAGAGCGUCUCCAGGCUGCUGGCCAGCACUCUGAAAAAGAAAUCCCACUUGGACCUCAUGUAUCCCUGCUUGCUCGUCUCCAGCAUGAUUUGUUGUUGUUGUUGUUCUCUGUGCAAGUGCCAGGGAAUGAGAAGCAACCUCCAAAGUUCCUUGCGUAAGACUCAUUUUUCUAGCCUUGCUGGCUCACUGAGAAGUCGGCUCCAUCCCUUAGCCUCUUCUCCAAUCACCAAGGGCAUGGAAAGAGCUAAAACACCAGGGCUAGAUGGAAUUUAAGAUGCAGGAUUAAAUUCUAAAAUGCAGGAGUUCCUGUUGUGGCGCAGCGAAAACGAAUCCGACUAGGAACCAUGAGGUUGUGGGUUCGAUCCCUGGCCUCAUUCAGUGGGUUAAGGAUCUGGCAUUGCCGUGAGCUGUGGUGUAGGUCACAGACGUGGCUCGGAUCCCGCAUUGCUGUGGCUGUGGCAUAGGCCGGCAGCUACAGCUCCAAUUCGACCCCUAGCCUGGGAACCUCCACAGGUUUGGGUACUGCCCUAAAAGGACAAAAUAAAAAAAAAUCAAAAUGUAUUGUUAUUUUAUGUACCACUAAGAAAGAAACAAAGAUCUACUAAUUAAACUCGGACACAAGCUUUGAAAAAUCAGUUUGAAAAUACU
rnacentral:lncRNA from 1 species